rnacentral:rRNA from 1 species
GACGAACGCUGGCGGCGUGCCUAACACAUGCAAGUCAACUUGACUGAAGGAGCAAUCUGACAGUAGAGUGGCGCAAGGGUGCGUAACGCGUAAGUAACUUGCCCCAAGGUAAGGAAUAACGUCGAGAAAUCGGCGCUAAUACCUCAUAAUGCAGCGGAUCCGCAUGGAUAUGUUGUUAAAGGUUUACCGCCUUGGGAUAGGCUUGCGUCUGAUUAGCUAGUUGGUGUGGUAACGGCACACCAAGGCUACGAUCAGUAACUGGUCUGAGAGGAUGAUCAGUCACACUGGAACUGAGACACGGUCCAGACUCCUACGGGAGGCAGCAGUGAGGAAUAUUGGGCAAUGCUCGAAAGAGUGACCCAGCAACGCCGCUGGAGGAUGAAGGUAUUCUAUAUCGUAAACUCCUGUGAGA